AGGGAUCAACGUGUCCUCCCCCUCCGAGAGGAGCGGGUAACCCGUUGAAAUCCUUUCAUGAUAGGGAUUGGGGUUUGCAAUUGUCUCCCAUGAACGAGGAAUUCCCAGUAAGCGCAAGUCAUCAGCAUGCGUUGAUUACGUCCCUGACCUUUGUACACACCGCCCGUCGCUACUACCGAUUGAAUGGCUCAGUGAGGCGUUCGGACUGGCGCUCUUGGAUGCCGGGCCC
rnacentral:rRNA from 1 species